GUGAGGGAGGGGUGACUAGUGACAGGGGGGGUGACUAGUGAGGGAGGGUGUGACUAGUGACAGAAUGAGGGAGGGAGAUGGUGACUAGUGACAGAGUGAGGGAGGUGGUGACUGUCACUAGUCACCCCAUCCCUCUCUCUGUCACUAGUCACUCCCUCCCUAACUCUGUCACUAGUCAUCCCCUCACUCUGUCACUAGUCACCCACUCCCGCACUCUGUCACUAGUCACCCCCUCCCUCUGUCACUGUGUCACCCCAUCCCUCCCUCUGUCACUAGUCAUCCCCUCCCUCAC